rnacentral:rRNA from 1 species
CCUACGGGUGGCAGCAGUGAGGAAUAUUGGUCAAUGGACGAGAGUCUGAACCAGCCAAGUAGCGUGAAGGAUGACUGCCCUAUGGGUUGUAAACUUCUUUUAUAUGGGAAUAAAAUGUUCCACGUGUGGGAUUUUGUAUGUACCAUAUGAAUAAGGAUCGGCUAACUCCGUGCCAGCAGCCGCGGUAAUACGGAGGAUCCGAGCGUUAUCCGGAUUUAUUGGGUUUAAAGGGAUCGUAGGUGGAUUGUUAAGUCAGUUGUGAAAGUUUGCGGCUCAAACGUAAAAUUGCAGUUGAAACUGGCAGUCUUGAGUACAGUAGAGGUGGGCGGAAUGCGUGGUGUAGCGGUGAAAUGCUUAGAUAUCACGAAGAACUCCGAUUGCGAAGGCAGUUCACUGGACUGAAACUGACACUGAGGCUCGAAAGUGUGGGUAUCAAACAGGAUUAGAUACCCCUGUAGUC